GAUGAACGCUGGCGGCGUGCCUAAUACAUGCAAGUCGAGCGAACAGACGAGGAGCUUGCUCCUUUGACGUUAGCGGCGGACGGGUGAGUAACACGUGGGUAACCUACCUAUAAGACUGGGAUAACUUCGGGAAACCGGAGCUAAUACCGGAUAAUAUUUCGAACCGCAUGGUUCGAUAGUGAAAGAUGGCUUUGCUAUCACUUAUAGAUGGACCUGCGCCGUAUUAGCUAGUUGGUAAGGUAACGGCUUACCAAGGCAACGAUACGUAGCCGACCUGAGAGGGUGAUCGGCCACACUGGAACUGAGACACGGUCCAGACGACUACGGGAGGCAGCAGUAGGGAAUCUUCCGCAAUGGGCGAAAGCCUGACGGAGCAACGCCGCGUGAGUGAUGAAGGUCUUCGGAUCGUAAAACUCUGUUAUUAGGGAAGAACAAACGUGUAAGUAACUGUGCACGGCUUGACGGUACCUAAUCAGAAAGCCACGGCUAACUACGUG
rnacentral:rRNA from 1 species